rnacentral:snoRNA from 1 species
GGCGGUGCCUGGUGCGUGGGUGCAUUGGUGCAGACCCACGGUUGCCCCGCAUGCUGCAGCGCCUCUCAGGAAUGGACAGGCAGGCUCACACCCUGCAUGCCACGUGUCUCCUUUUGUCCGAGAGGAAGACUACAAGGGAAAGCGGAGGCAGGCGAGGCGACCAGGACACAGGC